rnacentral:rRNA from 1 species
UACGGGGGGGGCAAGCGUUGUUCGGAAUUACUGGGCGUAAAGGGCUCGUAGGCGGCCAAUUAAGUCACACGUGAAAUCCCUCGGCUCAACCGGGGAACUGCGUGUGAGACUGGAUGGCUUGAGUUUGGGAGAGGAAUGCGGAAUUCCAGGUGUAGCGGUGAAAUGCGUAGAUAUCUGGAGGAACACCGGUGGCGAAGGCGGCAUUCUGGACCAAUACUGACGCUGAGGAGCGAAAGCCAGGGGAGCAAAC